rnacentral:rRNA from 1 species
AAACGUAGGAGACAAGCGUUAUCCGGAGUUACUGGGCGUAAAGGGCGUGUAGGCGGCCUUCUAAGUGGGUUGUGAAAGCGACUGGCUCAACCGGUCGAGGCCGACCCAGACUGGGAAGCUAGAGGGCGGUAGAGGGGCGUGGAAUUCCGGGUGUAGUGGUGAAAUGCGUAGAGAUCCGGAGGAACACCAGAGGCGAAGGCGACACUCUAGGCCGCACCUGACGCCGAGACGCGACAGCAC